rnacentral:rRNA from 1 species
UGAGGAAUAUUGGGCAAUGCCCGCAAGGGUGACCCAGCAACGCCGCGUGGAGGAUGGAUGUCGUAAGAUUGUAAACUCCUGUUAGAGGGGAAGAAUAGUACCGGUUGGACCGGUAUAUGACUGUACCCUCAGAGAAAGCCCCGGCUAACUACGUGCCAGCAGCCGCGGUAAUACGUAGGGGGCAAGCGUUGUCCGGAUUUACUGGGUGUAAAGGGCGCGCAGGCGGGAUAAAAAGUCAGUGGUGAAAUCCUACAGCUUAACUGUAGAACUGCCUUCGAUACUUUUAUUCUUGAGUUCGGGAGAGAGAGACGGAAUUCCAGGUGUAGUGGUGAAAUACGUAGAUAUCUGGAAGAACACCAGUUGCGAAGGCGGUCUCUUGGUCCGACACUGACGCUGAGGCGCGAAAGCGUGGGGAGCAAACA